UUAAUACUCCCUCCGUCCUAAAAUUCUUGUCUUAGAUUUGUGUAGAUAUGAAUGUAUCUAGUCANNNNNUAGUAUUUAGAUACAUCCAUUUGUAGACAAACCUAAGACAAGAAUUUUGGGACGGAGGGAGUAUAUU
rnacentral:pre_miRNA from 1 species